rnacentral:rRNA from 1 species
UACGUAGGUGGCAAGCGUUGUCCGGAUUUACUGGGCGUAAAGGGCGCGUAGGCGGGAUGGCAAGUCGGUCGUGAAAUCCUUCGGCUCAACCGAAGAACGUCGAUCGAUACUGCUGUUCUAGAGGAUUGCAGAGGAGACUGGAAUUCCCGGUGUAGCGGUGAAAUGUGUAGAGAUCGGGAGGAACACCGGUGGCGAAGGCGGGUCUCUGGGCAAUUCCUGACGCUGAGGCGCGAAAGCGUGGGGAGCAAACGGG